rnacentral:misc_RNA from 1 species
GAAAUGCGAUAAGUAAUGUGAAUUGCAGAAUUCAGUGAAUCAUCGAAUCUUUGAACGCACAUUGCGCCCGCCAGUAUUCUGGCGGGCAUGCCUGUUCGAACGUCAUUACAACCCUCAGGCCCCCGGGCCUGGCGUUGGGGAUCGGCGGAAGCCCCCUGCGGGCACAACGCCGUCCCCCAAAUACAGUGGCGGUCCCGCCGCAGCUUCCAUUGCGUAGUAGCUAACACCUCGCAACUGGAGAGCGGCGCGGCCACGCCGUAAAACACCCAACUUCUGAAUGUUGACCUCGAAUCAGGUAGGAAUACCCGCUGAACUUAAGC